GUUCAUAAUCCUUAAAUACAGCUCCUGGGGGGAAGCUCUUUGCCAGACAUGGGAAGCUCCUGACCCUCAUGAAAACUCAGGAUGGGUAGGUUAAAUGUCUGGUCCUUAGAGAGAGUAGCAGAGUGUUGGAAAUAGGGGAAGGUUUCUUGGAAGGUCAAAUUAAAAGGAGAAGGCUGCAUCUCCUGAUCAGAUCACCAGAAUGGGAAGCCAGACACUGGACAUGUGAAUGACAUUGGAGCCCUGCAAAACCAUUCACUUGACUUAUGAAUGUGAGUUAAUCUUACUGAACCUUAAUCCUAGUAUCUAAAUGUGAGAUACAGAUUAAUAUUUUUGAGACAAUUGUUUGAUAGGAAAAUGUCAGAUUGGUAAACUAUAAUCUGACAUAUGAAGAUCAGUUAUUACUGUUACUUAGUAAGCAAAAUAAUUUCUUUUAGGUACACACACACGACACAGAAUAAUCCCCGUUACUUUAUUACUUUAGUAUAUUUCUACUUCCCUACCUCACAUAACUUACUCUGAUAUUAGUGUGAUACAUUCAAUCAGUCUGAUUAGACGUGAAAUGAAUUUGUCUUUGGAGAAGGUAAUUGAAGCAUGAUGUCACUAGGACCCAGGGAACACAUCAUGAGGCCUCCCACCAUAUUCCUUUGGUAAUAGAGUUUGGAACUGACGGGAGGUGGAGGGGAAAAUGGGAGAGUCCAAGUCAUCGCCUUAGUGUUGCAAGAUCCACUUUAAAAGAGAACAUUUACAAAAAAUAGAAAAUAUUGUAUAAUUUCAUUUAUAUGAGGUACCUGGGAUAAUCAAAUUCAUAGAACAGAAAGUAGAAUGGUGGUUGCCAGGAAAUGAAGAAUUAUCAUUGAAUGGGUACAGAGUUUCAGUUUGGGAUGAUGAAAAAUUCAAGAGAUGAAUAAUCAAUGUGGUUGCACCAGAAUAUGAAUAUACUCCAUGCCAAAGAAUUAUAUUCUUAAAAUGGCCAAAAUGAUAAAUUUUAUUUGCACUACAUAUUAUCACAAUUUUUAAAAAGAAAGGUUUACAUCAUAUGAUUUAGCCACUUCAUAUUGCAUUGCUGAUUUGAUUUUUUGUUAAAAAUAUUGAUAAGUACACAGUAUUUAGUGAUAUAUAUCAAGUCCUAUCUUAAGUCACUAAGGAAAGGAAAAUGGUUAUUGAUGAAGAUCUUUUAUUCCAAGUUAUGUUUGAAUUGGCAUGUAGGGGGAAGCAUAUGUAAAAAAAAUGUUUGGAUUUAUCAAAUUGUCCAUAUUUUACUGAAACCUAGAUUUACCACAUCUAAGUACAAUCUGUCCCCUUGAAAGAAGUGGAGACAAUUUCAUCACCUAUAACUGAGUUCCAACUACUAUAAAAUUCAUGGAUGAAAAAGAAAGUCAUUAGUAGGAUGAAUAAAACAAUUUGGGACCUAAGGCAAAAAGAAUACUUAUGCCACACUGCUUAUAGCCAAGAUAAAUACACGCACAAAAAACUAUCAUAAAUCUAGUGAAAAUUUUUGUAUUCGCAGUAAAGAAAAAAGCCAGGGGUGUUUUGGGAUAUAUAAAAUGAUAAUCAACAUGAAGCAAAUUUAAAAACCAAAUGCAAAAGCUUGUAUUAUUAUCACUGGAAAUUAGAAGAUAGAUAAAACAAGGAAGUCAUUCUUCCUGCUAUUCAAAGAGCUAUGACAAUGUAAUUGAUGUCAUUUAUUUCUAAACAAAUAAAUAACUGAACUGUAUCUAAUGAAAUUACAAGUGUGGUGUCCUAAUCGAAAGGAGUGAGGGGAGACAAAGGAAACUAAUUCAGAUAAAGUCAGUUCCUUUACAAGGAGUCACUCAGUAAGUGUUUCUAAAAGCAAACUCAUUCUGGAUCUGGCAAUUAUCACAGUAAAUUUUGUGAAAUACUAUAAAUCUCCAAAUGGCCUUACUAAAGUCAGAGUGUUUUCUCCUGCAAGAUACUGAGUUCAUAAAAAUAUAACUGGUUACUUCAAUGUCAAUGAUUGCCUUAACAUUUUUUUUGUCUUUUUAAUGAACAAUACUUGCUGACAUACCUCUAUUAAUUUAAUCUCCAAAGGAGGCAACAAGUUGGAAGUUGUUUCAUUCAAUCUUCUAACGCUCCUUACCAAAGUCUGAAAGAAGAAAUUGUAUCUCUGAGCUCUUGGAGCUCGCACAGCAUCUUGGAACACCAAGAAUAACUCAGGCAUGUCAAGGCUCACGGGACCUGCAAGCUUUGGAGCAGUCUCCUUGGGAGCACGUUGAUUUCCUGAAAUUCUUCACAGCACACACAUCUCCAUCUUCUAAAUUCUCUUUCCCCUGUUCCCUUUUACCCCUACUCAACAAACAUGGUAGCUUGG
rnacentral:lncRNA from 1 species